rnacentral:lncRNA from 1 species
UCAGUCCAGGAGACAUAAUUCGGCCCAUAUGUUUUGCAUUUCAGUUCCUCAAUUUAUGAAAAACAAAUGUAAAUAAGCUGUAGGUUCUUUAUUUGCAAGGUUAGGGAAGUGUCCAUAGACCACAGAUUUAAGAUGCUAACAUCGAGGCAACAACCUCUGGAGCAAUUCAUUGUGUAGUCGGAAAUCAGGUGGUUGUAGUGGGUUAUGUCAUUAGAGAUUCCUUUGUCUUCUUUCUCCAUCCCUCAGACCGAGCUCUGAGCUGCAUGCUUGGGAAGGGAUCCAGGCUGCUUAUGUUGAGCUUCUGACAAGAUACGGGCAUAUGGCUUGAAGGUGAUUCCUUUUUCUCCUGCCCUCUCCUUCCUGAUAUUUGGAACAUGGGGAGGCAGGCCUCUCCAUUUUUUCCCAAGCUUCCAAUAUCAUCAGAGAAGGCAACCAACCAGCUGAUCAGGUGGCUGGAUAUCACUUUAAACCAAAAAGAAAAAACCAAAAAAAACAAAAACAAAAACAGAGAAAGGGGGGGGAGAGAGAGAGAGAGAGAGAGAGAGAGAGAGAGAGAGAGAGAGAGAGAGAGAGAGAGAGAGAGANNNNNNNNNNNNNNNNNNNNGAGAGAGAGAGAGAAGAAGAAGAAGGGAGAAAAACACCUCCAAAUAACACAGCUAAAUCUAUGGCGGCAUAUGCAUCAAUUAAACUCACCAGAUUGCCUCCCAACUAUCUCUUAGUCAUAAGGUUCCCUUAUCUGUUAAAAUUGUGUAGAAAAAAGUUAAUGGUGGCCAAUCUGAAAAACCUGAGAGAAUAUAAUGUUACCACCAUUGAUGAACCUUCCAAAUGACCACCCGAACUGUCACGUACGGAUGAUCACAAGCCUCAUUUAUCACCCACUUCUCUCUUAUGUAAAAUUUUUACCACCCACUCC